CCCCUCUCAGGGUUGCACCUGGAGAAUUUCCAGUACUCUACCAGUCUUGACUACAGGAGGGAGAGUCAAGCAGAGGCAUAUCCAUUCCAUCCCUAGCUUGGCCAGUGGCUAGCAAGUGGAAGGCAAUCUGCUACAAGU
rnacentral:snoRNA from 1 species